CGGUUCUGGCAUCGAUGAAGAACGCAGCGAAAUGCGAUAAGUAAUGCGAAUUGCAAAAUUCCAGUGAGUCAUCGAAUCUUUGAACGCACAUUGCGCCCUUUGGUAUUCCGAAGGGCAUGCCUGUUCGAGCGUCAUUAUCACCCCUCAAGCCCCGUGCUUAGUGUUGGACGGCCGGUCGAGGUUCGCCCCGACCCCUCCUAAAGACAAUGACGGCGGCCUGUGGUUCCCCCUGUACACUGAGCUUUUCACAGAGCACGGGCCGGACGAGGGCGCCCGGGUCACGGUCCCCUCCCCCCCGUGAGGAAAUAUUUUUCAAGGUUGACCUCGGAUCAGGUAGGAAUACGCGCUGA
rnacentral:misc_RNA from 1 species